rnacentral:rRNA from 1 species
UACGAAGGGGGCUAGCGUUGCUAGGAAUCACUGGGCGUAAAGGGUGCGUAGGCGGGUCUUUAAGUCAGGGGUGAAAUCCUGGAGCUCAACUCCAGAACUGCCUUUGAUACUGAAGAUCUUGAGUUCGGGAGAGGUGAGUGGAACUGCGAGUGUAGAGGUGAAAUUCGUAGAUAUUCGCAAGAACACCAGUGGCGAAGGCGGCUCACUGGCCCGAUACUGACGCUGAGGCACGAAAGCGUGGGGAGCAAACAGG